rnacentral:lncRNA from 1 species
GAGAUAUCGUGAUGUCUUUACUGGGCUAGUGUAGCUCAUUCCUUAUUUAAUCAUUUCAGUUCAGGAGGACAUUGUUCCCGAGCCCGUUCCGCAAGAAGACGACGAAGGGGACGCCUAAAGACUCCAUAGUCAUAUCCAUAGCUUUUACUUCGAAUUUCUCUUUAGUUAGUUAAUCUUUUAUAUUUUGAGCACGUUUUGGUUUUAGUGUAAGGGAUAUUAAUCGAAUUUUGACUUCGCUUCCGCAUUGAUAU